GCCCAGUGUAAAAAGACAAAAAUAUACCCUGUUUGUGACACUUCAACAGCCAGGGUACUGAACCAGGUUCGACAGGUAAUAUCUAUAAGAACAAAUUGUAACUAUUUCCUGCGUAGGAUUUCCUGCGUGUGUUUCUUUGUGUUAAAAUUAUUAGUUCAUACAACGAGUUCAUAAACUUUAACACUAGACAUUCGAAAAUAUUUGAAAAACUUUUCGUCAUCUUGUAGUAAGUUGGGAAGGAAAUGAUAAAACUCUCCAUAAGUUUCUCGCUUUAAAUAUUAAUGUAUGAAUCCAAUAUCUUGGUUUUUGUAUUUCAUUGCACGCUAAGGAAAUCAUAACGUAUUCUUCAGAAUCUGAUGAACUAGAACUCAUUUUUAAAAUGAAUGAGGUCUAUAUCACACUGUUGCUGACACGAAACUGCCGAUGCCGGGGAC
rnacentral:lncRNA from 1 species